rnacentral:tRNA from 1 species
GGAUGUGGCUCAGUGACAGAGUGCUUGCCUGAAAAGCAUGAGGCCCUGGGUUCAAUCCCAAGCACCA